CUUUGAAAUGAUGACUUUAUACCGCCCCAGUCUGAUGUUUUCAUGACUGAUUGGUACACCUCUGAUAACA